GGGAAAUGACCACAUGACAGAUAAAAAAGGUAUAUAUAGGCAGUAAGCCAAUGACAUCACUGUCAGCCAAUGAAGUAGGCCAUAGCACAUUGGCCAUUCGAUAAUAUGGAAAAAAAAAAAAAAAAUAAGCAGCCACACGCAACAUGGAAAAGAUUCAAGUCAUCAAGGAUUUUCCCUGGAUAGUUGCAGAUGAACAGGAGGUGCACAUGCGGGAGCCCAGACUCAUUCCGCUAAAAACAAUGACAUCAGACAUCGUAAAAAUGCAGCUGUAUGUAGAGGAAAGGGCUCAGAAGGCUUCUUAACUCGCACUGGGUUUUCCCAUCAUGCCUGGCUGCUGGACUCAUGAUGCUGGAACAUGAGGAGAGAUGACGACCCCUGGGUGUGUGACAGUCAUGUGAUUUAAAAGCAGGCAAUGUUGUAUUCUGGCUGUGAAACAGAGGGCUGAGCUGUGGCUGAAACAGCCAGGAGAAAUGACUGUGGAAUUCAUGCUACAUGUGAUGUUGUGUUGUGUCAUGUGCAUUUUAAGUCAUAAGGUGGGACCUCAUCGCUGGAGAUGUUUUCCACAUUCAUACAUGCACGCGUGCAGCUAAGUUGUCACAGAAAUGCCUUGGAGAAGAAUAUAAGAAUGAGCGAUUUAUAAUUGUUCAACAGAAAGAAG